rnacentral:rRNA from 1 species
UAGGGAAUUUUCGGCAAUGGGGGGAACCCUGAUCCAGCGACGCCGCGUGAGUGAAGAAGUAUUUCGGUAUGUAAAGCUCUAUCAGCAGGGAAGAAAAUGACGGUACCUGACUAAGAAGCCCCGGCUAACUACGUGCCAGCAGCCGCGGUAAUACGUAGGGGGCAAGCGUUAUCCGGAUUUACUGGGUGUAAAGGGAGCGCAGACGGCGAUGCAAGUCUGAAGUGAAAGGCGUGGGCUCAACCCAUGAACUGCUUUGGGAACUGUAUAGCUUGAGUGUCGGAGGGGUAAGCGGAAUUCCUAGUGUAGCGGUGAAAUGCGUAGAUAUUAGGAGGAACACCGGAGGCGAAGGCGGCUUACUGGACGACAACUGACGUUGAGGCUCGAAGGCGUGGGGAGCAAACAGGAUUAGAUACCCUGGUAGUCCACGCAGUAAACGAUGAAUACUUGGUGUCGGAGAGGAAAACUCUUCGGUGCCGCAAGCUAACGCAUUAAGUAUUCCACCUGGGGAGUACGUUCGCAAGAAUG